rnacentral:rRNA from 1 species
AUUGAACGCUGGCGGCAUGCCUUACACAUGCAAGUCGAACGGUAGCGGGCCUUCGGGUGCCGACGAGUGGCGAACGGGUGAGUAAUAUAUCGGAACGUACCUUUCAGUGGGGGAUAACGUAGCGAAAGUUACGCUAAUACCGCAUAUUCUGUGCGCAGGAAAGCAGGGGACCUUCGGGCCUUGCGCUGAUUGAGCGGCCGAUAUCAGAUUAGCUAGUUGGUGAGGUAAAGGAUCACCAAGGCGACGAUCUGUAGCGGGUCUGAGGGGAUGAUCCGCCACACUGGAACUGAGACACGGUCCAGACUCCUACGGGCGGCAGCAGUGGGGAAUUUUGGACAAUGGGGGCAACCCUGAUCCAGCCAUGCCGCGAGAGUGAAGAAGGCCUUCGGGUUGUACAGCUCUUUCGGCCGGGAAGAAAUCGUAUGGGCUAAUACCCUGUGCGGAUGACGGUACCGGAAUAAGAAGCACCGGCUAACUACGUGCCAGCAGCCGCCGUAAAAC